GUCGCGCCAUUUGCGGGGGCGUGGGUAACCUUGCCGUCGAAAGCCCCUCGGCCCAGUCAAAUCGCCCGCACUCCGCAGCCCUCCCUCCCUCCUCGAUCUCUCUCCCUCAGCCGCCACAAACCCUAGGUCCCUUUCCUACGAUACCGUGGUCUUUGCCCCUGCUCCAUCCGACCUCCAUGGCGGACGAGGGCCCGAUCCGCGCCGACGCCGUGCCGGCGGCGGCCGGGGCGGGCGCGGAGAGGGCCGAUGCGGCGGCUGCGGGCGGGGUGGCGGCGGCCAAGGCCAGGGAGGACGAGGUUGGCCACGGGCGGGGCGGCGGCGGCCAAGGCUAGGAAGGACGAGGUCAGGGAGUACAAGAGUGACGUGAGGAAGCUGGAGGAGCUGUUCAAGAAGCUGAACCCCUCCGUGGAGGAGUUCGUGCCGCUCUUCCUUCGCCAGGGGGACAGCGCAUGCCGCCUGUCGGCCGACGCGCUCGUCUUUGCCUCGCCCGCGAUCGACUACUAUGCUCCUCCGUCCACCGACUCUGUCCGUGCAGGUCGCCAGUUUCCUUUCGCGCCAACCUUCUCCACUGUCUCCCCAGUUCAUCCUCCGUCCCUUGCUGCUCGAGAUUCUCAUCUGCUCAGGCUGCGAGGAAGACACGUGAGGAGGAGAGACCUCGUCUCGAGAAGCCCGGAGGAGGGGCUGAAACAGAGAGGAGCAGAUGCCAGCCAGGUAGUCGGCUCGGCUUGACACCGUCCUUCGUGUCUGGGCCGCGGCAGACCCUAGCACCAUCCUUAAGGUGUCUUCACGGCUGCAGGAGUGUAUGUGAGCCCCCCACCAUCUCUCACUCUCCCGUCAUCACCUGGUAUUGCACUUCUACCCCCUGGCUUGAACCUGAAACCUCCAUGUGCUCUGUAGGUGUAGAUUCAGACGUCACCAAAGCCCUUUUUGUGGGAUUUACAAAAUUCAUUCAGUAACAUUGUAAAUGGGUGUAAAUUCAGACGUUGCCAAAGCCAAGUUUGUCCUACUGAUUUCCUUGGUAUUCCAUAUAUUAUGUGCCCUGUAGGCCUUAUUGCUUUCCUAGCUUGGUAAGUUAGUAUGCAUGAAUUUUGUGGGUGUGUGUGCAUUUGGAUGCUGACUUAGAUGUCAUCCCAUCUUGCUUCCAUGUUUUUUCUUCACCAUGUUAUCUUUAGCCUUCCACGCCACUGAUUUGGUUGGUUUAUUUCCUUGAAUAGUUCUCCUUGUUUGCCACUGAUAAAUACAACGAUUAUGUGAUGUCUGUAUUUAUUGUUUUAGCUAAUGUGUCUCUUUUAUUAUUAUUAUCAUCCUCUAUGGUUAAUCACACAUUUCAUUGUUGUGCUUCGGAGUCUAUGGUGUACUACAUGCAACAUGAUACAAUCCACAAUGGUUAAUAAAAACUAAAUAUGAUAGCAAAUGAAAACUAUUGUGAUGCAUUGAACUAUGAUGGACACAUAAAAAAGGCGUACAAUAACUUCUAACUUUAUUCCACUGACGAGAUGUGUCAAUUCUUUUUGUGUUGAUUAGAACAAAGUUGAAGAGAUGAUUUGGAAUCUCUUGGAUAUGUACUCAUGUACUUCAUAAGGGGAAGCCUUCCUUGGUAAGGUCUGAAAGCAGGAACGAGGAAGCAAAAGUAUGCGAAGAUCAGUGAGAAAAAAUUGCAACAUCAAUUGAGGCUCUGUGUCAUGGGUAUCCUACUGAGUUCACAUCAUAUUUCCAUUAUGGUUAUUGUCGCUUGCUUCCGUUUGAUGACAAGCCUGAUUAUUCCUACCUUAAGCGACUGUUACGUGACCUCUUUAUCCAUGAAGGUUUUCAGUUUGACUAUGUAUUUGACUGGACAAUAUUGAAGUACCAGCAAUCUCAAAUUGCUGGUGCUCUGCCUCGUGUUGCAGACCUUUUGGGUUGACACCACCUGUAUUGCAGAAUGAUAGUCAAUCUGGUAAUUUGUUUAUUUUGAUCAGUCCUUACGAGUAUUACUAUUACUGUUUUCAGGCAAUAUUGAUGAGUAAUUGGCUUAUAAUAAAGUUGCCAGAAAGUUUCUUUGCUUCUAUGGCUAACUUGAACCAGAUGGUCACCGGUUGGUCCUCCUCUUCUCUCCUCGCGCCAUCGUCCUCCUCCUCAUCCAUCUCUCGAUUCAGCCAAGACAAUGGGGAUCAAGACUGUGUUAUGUUGAAAAAAGGAAAGAGACUACUCUUUUGUUACUUACAGUACAGAUAUAUGCUAUAACAUUACCGUUAUGCUCUCUUUGGAUUUCAUUUUAUGUCUACCAACAAGAAAGUCACUAAUAUCAAUGCCUACGAAUUAUUUUGUUCGCCAUUCUAAUCGUGACAGCAGAGAGCAAUGGAUAUAGAAGAAAUAUGUAAACAAUUGUCCCUUAGAAGAAAUAUGCAACAACUUAUUCAGUGGUACAGGUGUGAUCUUCAUGGAGCUAGCAAUCAUUGGAUUUGGUAAUACAUAAUCACUUAUUCAGAGAGCCCAAGGUGAGAAGGGACGAGCAUCUAGAACACCACCACCUACUAAUCAUUGAGCUACUAUCUGUCUUUGAAUGAGUUACUUAACAAGAGAAGGCAGGAGUUUCCUACCUUUCUUCUGCAAAUCUGGAAUGCCUUUAUGGCAUGAUCUCGUGAAAAAAGUACCUUUGAUGCAGUAAUGGAUUUGAUUAUCACUGGUUACUCUGUUUUCACGAAUUACUAUCCAACUGUAAGUCUGUUCUAUACCCUAAGGCCCAUGUAAAUCUGAUAGAAGAUUAAGCUAUUUAAUUUUAACUAAAAAGGAUAAUAUUCUUUCACUCGCUUGAAUCUGUCCAGACCUGAAAAAUACUUAUACUUUGAAAGCUUGAUAUAUGAGUAUGUAAUUUUACAGGUAUGUAAAUAGCCGACAAUGUUAUUGUUCAAAUGUACUCGAGCCAGGUUUCGGUGUUUCAUUGCAACCAAAAGAAUUGGUAAUACUGUUUUGAUGAAAACAUGGUCGCACUUGUCGGUGUUGUAUAAUAGGAUUUUUAAUUAGUGGCAUAGGAAAUUUUUCCCUAAGAUCCACUAUGAAGUUGAUUGAAAGUCCAUUUUCCUAAGAUCCACUAUGACAAUGAAAAAGAUUUCUGAAAACUAUGUCACCAUAAAUGUUCCAUCAUUGUCCAUAGCAGUCCCAUGCCAUAUUAAUUUCAGAAGAAUAAAUUCUUAUUCAGAUGUUCAUUGUGUUUUUAUGUACUGCUAUAUCUAAAAAAAGCAAGUUUCAGCUAAAACCAGAGCCGUGGUUAAGAUACUCUUCGCACCUAGGAUAUGUGUAUAUGUUCAGAUUGCUAACUUUAAACUAUAGUUUUAGAAAAUGUGGUGCCCUCGCUCAUUUUACUAAUGCAUGAACUUAGGGUAAAUGUUUUAUGUGUAAUGCGUGCUUGAUUUCUUUUUGAUUCUGGCGGAUUUUGAUUUUCUCCACCAUGCUUCUCUCCAACGGGAUGAGUCUGUUUUCGCUACAACGGGUGAUGCAUGUGCUUAUUGUUGGCUGUUGGUAUGUGGUAUGCAUUUUCUCAUUGUUGGAUGUUUGUUGUUUGCUAUGAUUAAGAUACAUUGGCAUGUACAUUUUAUAUCAGUUUUGUUUUCAACACCACCUAUCACUGUAUAAUUUGCCGUUAAUAGAGUAGUUUCUCCUUUAUUGCAUUGCAUAAUGCUAGCAAGCUACAUUGCACCAUAAACAAAUAUAAUCCUCUUCCAAGGUUAAACCUGUUUUUUUCCUUCUAGCAAAGAUCUUCUCUGGAAAAGAUCAAUUCCGUUAGCCUAUAAUAUUGCAGUUCUUUCGUAUCCUUCAAAGAUUUAUAAAUAUUUUCUGUUUCCACUCCAUUCGUUCUCAUGGAUUCUGAAAAAAAUAUUUUUGUUUUUUGUUGAUUAAUAAUAUUGCUUUCCGUUUCAGUUUUGUGGUGGUCGAUGCAUGUAGAAUAUACAGACUUUCCUAGAAUGGCGCCUUUUAGUUUUUCUGCUUGAUGUUAGUUCAUUGAUGAGAACACCUAUGUACAUGAUUGCUGCAUGCAUGAUUUCCUACUAUAUACUGAGAAAUAUUUUUGUUUUCCGGACAUUGUUUUCUAAAUCCUAUCAACAUAUUACCUGAUAUGGUUUUUGAAGUUUCUAUUUUAUAGCGAGCUUUGCACUGGUCAACUUGAGUAUGGUAUUGUUAUCUUUUCUUUUGUUUACAGGCGAUGUGUGGUAGAAGCUGUACUCAUAGGAAGACUAUUGUGUUGUGUAUAAACCAUGUUCUACGAUUCACUUCUGUUAUGCAUAUUUACUUUUCAGUUUUAGGACCGAAAUCCAUCCAUUGUAAUGAAUUUGGUUGUACGGGCAUUACCUAUUUGACUUAGGCUUGCUUCAUCACAUAUAGACUGCUUUUCUUUUCCCCACUGCUUGUAUGACCUAAAACUAUCAUGUAUAUGAGGCAAGUUAUAAGCAAUGUUUCACAUUUUCUUACUUGAAA